AACAACACUCCGAUCCGCAAACAAACAGAUGAAGAAGAGGAGGAUGACGACGGUCCAGCGCAUACAAGGAGAAAGUAACCGAGAGAAGUGUCAUCGCAGAAGUUCUCCAGACAGCUGUGAACAGCGAGCAGUGCUUGGAGUCAGACAGUAGACUUCAUCUUUAUUAUACUUCUCUGACUGGACUAGCAAGGAGCAGUUAGAGUCCAUGAGAAAAAGAAGAUACUUUAAAGAAUACUGGUAAUCAAAACCAACAGGUUUGUCACGUGUAGACGACAUAAAGGG